AGUGUCUGGGGUGGCACUGGACACCCCUGACAUCUGAUUGGCCACCCUGGGUGCCACCCCAAAAUUCCAUUCGCUACUGGCAGUUUGAUGCUGAUUGACAUCUCAUUUGCAUCAUCACCAGACCCCAGAGCAGUUCCCUACCUGAGGCUAGAGUCAGUGUGGUCAGACUUCACAAGGACCAAGUCUACCACCACCAGAUGUAUCAAGGGAUGACACAGAGACCUCUGACUCUGAGUAAGACAGUGAGCCAGAGCUGCCGGGAGAGGUCAUCAAGCCCCUCCCAACUGCAUCAAGGGAUGACACAGAGACCUCUGACUCUGAGUAAGACAGUGAGCCAGAGCUGCCGGGAGAGGUCAUCAAGCCCCUCCCAACUGCAUCAAGGGAUGACACAGAGACCUCUGACUCUGAGUAAGACAGUGAGCCAGAGCUGCCGGGAGAGGUCAUCAAGCCCCUCCCAACUGCAUCAAGGGAUGACACAGAGACCUCUGGUUCGGAGCAAGACAGUGAGCCAGAGCUGCUAGUAGAUAUCAUCAAGCCCCUCCCAACUGUAUCAAGCACCAGACAUUUCAAGAUCCAGAGAAGAGGGUCCUGUACAGCCGUGUUUGAAAUCAUUUCCCAGAACUCAGCAUGGUACUAGGAAAGGGGUUUUCAACAGCUCCUGGUAUAAGGACAAUUCAUGGCUUUAAUAUUAAGUAAGUCAAGAUUUGACUUAGUUUUACCUGUAGGCAUUUUUCUCUGCCCAAUACACCUGAAUCUGUCUUCACAUCACAGUCAUGUUUCUCUGCCCAAUAGACCUGAAUCUGUCUUCACAUCACAGUCAUGUUUCUCUGCCCAAUACACCUGAAUCUGCCUUCACAUCACAGUCAUGUUUCUCUGCCCAAUACACCUGAAUCUGCCUUCACAUCACAGUCAUGUUUCUCUGCCCAAUACACCUGAAUCUGUCUUCACAUCACAGUCAUGUUUCUCUGCCCAAUACACCUGAAUCUGCCUUCACAUCACAGUCAUGUUUCUCUGCCCAAUACACCUGCAUCUGCCUUCACAUCAGUCAUGUUUCUCUGCCCAAUAGACCUGAAUCUGUCUUCACAUCACAGUCAUGUUUCUCUGCCCAAUACACCUGAAUCUGCCUUCACAUCACAGUCAUGUUUCUCUGCCCAAUACACCUGCAUCUGCCUUCACAUCACAGUCAUGUUU